AAGCCGGGCGGCUCCCGUUCCCGAGAUAACCCGAGCCCGGCGUUUGUCCGCGGGGAGCGCGCGUCCGGAGAGGUCGCCACCCGAGGCCCAGGCGUGCGGGAGGCAAAGAUAAAUACUCAAUGAACGGAGGAGCGCUUCCCCCCUCCCCCCUUCUUUUACCCCUUUUCUGGCCUCCACCCUAAACCCCACCCCUUCUUGGAAACAUUCUACUACUUUUUCGUCUCCCGGUUCUUUCCCCCGUUUCUUCCCAGCCACACACGCUCCACAGGCUAUUCCCUCUGCUCAGAUGGAUCAGACGGGCUUCCAAAGGGGUUUAAACAAACCGUGGAUUUGGGUAAAUGGACUGGAGUUAAGAAUUCCAGCCAAGAAGAUUCAAGCGUUGAUGUUUGGGGCGUUCAUUUCCUUCGAUGUGCCAACCUUUUCUAUUAUUUUCAUGGCUUUUAAUCUUUGAAAAUACACCAUGUGUGAAUCAUCCUAUAAAGUUCUUAUGAAAAAUU